UUUUAAAUACACGCCAAAUUAAGUAAUCCAGAUUAUCUUAAGCAGAAAUUAGUUUACUUUACAUUACGUACAAAAUGGUUACAGUACACUAAGGUUUUGCAGUUAACAAUGUGUUUUCCAAGUAUGGUCAUAAUGUUUGUUUAAUUUUUUCAACAGUACGCCAGACCAGCGCUCCAGACAGGCCACUGCCAACUGAUGUGGGUGCUGGGAUUGCAGGUUCUUCUUCUGCAAGCCGCCCUCUAAGGCGCCCAUCACAGGGCUCUGUAAACUUACCCAGGAGGCCAAGUAAGACGCGCCGUGUGGAUUUGGAAUCAGCGGAUCCAUCUUCCCCACCCAGGCGGCGCAUCUCUGCAGUCUUGUCCCAGCCACCACAGGCACUAUUGAGUAGUCCCCAAAGUGAUGAGCCCAGAUCACCUCAGUUAUCUGAACCAACCUUCAUGGCCGACGUGGACCAGCAGGAACCAGACCAACAGGCCACCUAUACACUGCAACUAACACCCGUUGUUCCGACCCAGGCAACCCAGCCGCAGGAUAUCCCCCAACCCUCCAUUAGUCCACAACUGCUCCAAGCUCCACCCCAGCAACAAAUGUCCGCGGACUUUUGGUCCAGUUUGGCAACCCAACAGAGCCAAAACACUGCCUGCCUGAACGCCCACACCCAACACCUUACCAGUCUGCCCCAUCAUCUGCCGCGCAUUAGUAGGAACUCGGGCAGACUGAUUGUCCAGGUAGGCAGAAUUGCCACUUCUAUGGAGCAAAUCCGGACCGACAACACUCAAAUGCUGGCUAAUUUAACGCGCAUCAUUGAUGAGCAACAGCGCCAGCAGCAAGCACUCAUCCAACUGGUCCAACACAAUCAGGUGGUAAAUGAGUCAUUGUCGAGGAUUGUGGCCAGCCACACUGAAAGUAACAACCAACUGAAUGCCAGCAUCCACAAUUUAAGCCAAAGCAUCACUUUGAUGGCAGCACAACAAGUGAGCUCCAGCUCAGGAACCACGACCCCUAGCCAAACCCCAGUAACCUCCCCUGUUCGUAGAUCCUCCCGAGCACGUGCCAGCGACCCAGCACAAAGCACGGCACCCAGCACACACAAGAAAAAAAAAUAACACCAAAAUAUAAUUUUAG